UAUUUGCUCUGUUACCACGGUUGCGUAUUAAAGGUUUGAAUGAGCGUGCGCGGAGCGGCGUGGGAAAUUUCCACCGGCUCUUGCUUUAAAUAACUAAUCCUGAAAGCCACAACAACAAGAAGCUCCUUACCUCAGAAAAUCCAAUUCAACACUGCAGCUAUUCAGACCCAAACACUUCCCUUUCCAUCGCUCUCUCCUGACCCCUGCUGGCCACAGCAGCCCCCUAAGCCUCGAUGACGUGAUGCAGGGAGGUUCUUGUAGACGGCUCGACUGUAGGGGAUAAAGCAAAGGCCCAGCUGGAGGUGUCGUGCCAUCCUGCAGUAAGCGGCGAGUGCUAGAACCAGAAGUGGUGCCAGCAGUAGAAAGCCCACAACCAGCAAAGCCACACAGCCUCCAUCAUCCAAGAGAUCUGAACAGUAGGUGGAAUUGCCAUGCCGCUGAACCUUUAAGAAAUGGAAGUUGUUAAAAUGGUGGCCAAAAGAAGUGGGAACACUGGGAUGCAGACCACACAUUAGAAAUGUCUGGGGUGCCACAAUCACAAGAGCAGUGCAAAUGCAGCUGGUUAAACAUGGAGCUUUUCUCACUCUGAAUGCCGGGAUGCCGUUGUCAUGGUAGUGCACGAAGAAGAGAAGUACAAUCGCUUCAGGAAAUGAGAAGGAGCCUCUUCAAAAGACACGCAAGCUCUUGACCUUCAGAACAAACAAGAGAUCACACGCAAACACACAAAUACACAAAAUGCAACUCAAACGACUUCAAACAGAACUACUGCCAUAAAGUAAUGAAUCAUAACACACACACACACACACACACACACACACAGAUGCCAUGUGAAUCAGAUAUAUGCUAAAACAUUCACAUAAUGCACUGAAGGUUCGUAAUUUUAAUUAACAGACAGCGCAAGUUAAUCUUAUGUAAGGCUAUUUGCUUUGUAGAGUGUGAAUGAAACUAUCAUUCGUCUUGUGCAUCCAAGGUUGUUUGCUGUAUAUUCAAUUUAAGUCCUUAAUGUGGUCCUCUGUUUGAGCAUUUUUACAUGGUUUGGCAAACACAUACUGUAUGUGUAACACAAGAAUCCCAAGCUUUUGUAUUUUUAUCCGCUGCCAUUACAUACUGCAUAUCCAUCACUAGGGGAUGCUACGACUCUUUGUUUAGUGUGUCCUCCUGAAAUCCCUUGCUUUGAAUUUCAUGCUACAUUAAUACAAGUAUAGCAAUCCGAACACAUUCAGGUUAGGGCUGUAAACUUUACUUAAACGUUAGACUAAUUUAAAACAAUACCGCUGGAGCAGCCUUUGAGAUUUCUUCGAAGGCUUAUUGAGAGGGCAUUAGGAUGCUUCAUUUUUAUGGCCCAGCCUUAAAUCAGCAGUUACCGCAGUCAACAGGAAACAUAUAAUCAUUAUUUUUCACUUAAGAGCUUGUGUAAUGUCAUCCAUCAAUUAUAGGAGACACCAGAUCCCACAAUUAUUGUUAGGCCUAUAUACCACUGGAUGUAUCACAAUGGAUGUUACAUAAUGCUUUUAUUUAUCGCCAUUAUGUAUUUUAUAACAGCCUCAUAGGGGAUUAGUUAUUGUUUGGAUUUAUUGCAAUAGAUUUAUUGUUGAUUUUUAUUUGCACGGCUUAUUAUUUAAACAUACGAUUCAUUUUUAAUUAUACAUAUUUUCAUAAUUUGAUACUUUAUGAAUAGCAUAAUUUACUACUCUAAUUAAAAUUUCACUAAACGCACUUAGCCACCAUAAAAACAAACAAGCAGGGCUGUCACAACAAAUGGCUGAAAAUAUGUGAUUCAGAUUUGCAUGAUAGAACAUGAAAACACAGAACAAGCUCUUUGUAAAUGUUUGACAGACGCGCCAUAUGUUUGGUAGUUAUGAUGCUGUUAUGAAAGCAGUUCGGCUCUGCUAUUUCUGCUGCCGGUGGUCAUAUGGCUCACAUCAGCUUUUUGGACACAGCUGGCUGAGGUCAAACUCCCUUUUCUCGCUCCGCAACAUGCUGACAGAAA